CCUACGGGUGGCAGCAGUGGGGGAUAUUGGACAAUGGGGGGAACCCUGAUCCAGCGACGCCGCGUGCGUGAAGAAGUAUUUCGGUAUGUAAAGCUCUGUCAGCAGGGAAGAAAGAAAUGACGGUACCUGACCACGAAGCCCCGGCUAAAUACGUGCCAGCAGCCGCGGUAAUACGUAGGGGGCAAGCGUUAUCCGGAAUUACUGGGUGUAAAGGGAGCGUAGACGGCCAGACAAGUCAGAAGUGAAAGCCCAGGGGUCAACCCUGGGACUGCUUUUGAAACUGCCGGGCUGGAGUGCAGGAGAGGUAAGCGGAAUGCGUAGUGUAGCGGUGAAAGGCGUAGAUAUUAGGAGGAACACCAGUGGCGAAGGCGGCUUACUGGACUGUAACUGACGUUGAGGCUCGAAAGCGUGGGGAGCAAACAGGAUUAGAUACCCGGGUAGUC
rnacentral:rRNA from 1 species